ensembl:processed_transcript
AUCAAACUAGCUCACUAUGACUGCUAAUGAAAACACAGGAACACCUGAGAAACCAAAGGGUAGUGUGGGGGCAAGGGCGCUUAUAUCCAGCCUUUUCAAGGUUUGUUAUUUUUCUCCAGGUUCUGUUAGCAGUGCCAUACUUGGGUUUACAGAGAUGGUGUGUCUGACUGAGAGCAAAGGAGCCAUACCAGGAAAGUUGAAGCAUAUCUUCAUUUUCAAGUCCAGGCUAAAAUAAGGUCUGAGGAAAAGAAUGAGCUGCGUGUGAAGGGAUAGAAAAAGAAAUCAUGAAAGAUCUGUUUGUCCAGGCCAGUGUUUCACCAUAAGAGAUCACUUUAAAUGAGAUGAAGUAAUUCUUUGCAAUUGCAAAUUUACCUUCCUUGCUUACCACAUUGUUAACUGUAGGAGCUGAUAUCUGGUUCUUCCACUGUUAACUUGNN